AGUUGUUGAUGUGGCUUUAGUGGAGAUUUUACUGAAUUAAAGCUAUGUCAGCAAUUAA
rnacentral:pre_miRNA from 1 species